AGUGAACGCUGGCGGUAGGCCUAACACAUGCAAGUCGAACGGCAGCACAGGAGAGCUUGCUCUCUGGGUGGCGAGUGGCGGACGGGUGAGGAAUACAUCGGAAUCUACUCUGUCGUGGGGGAUAACGUAGGGAAACUUACGCUAAUACCGCAUACGACCUACGGGUGAAAGCAGGGGACCUUCGGGCCUUGCGCGAUUGAAUGAGCCGAUGUCGGAUUAGCUAGUUGGCGGGGUAAAGGCCCACCAAGGCGACGAUCCGUAGCUGGUCUGAGGGGAUGAUCAGCAACACUGGAACUGAGACACGGUCCAGGCUCCUACGGGAGGCAGCAGUGGGGAAUAUUGGACAAUGGGCGCAAGCCUGAUCCAGCCAUACCGCGUGGGUGAAGAAGGCCUUCGGGUUGUAAAGCCCUUUUGUUGGGAAAGAAAUCCAGCUGGCUAAUACCCGGUUGGGAUGACGGUACCCAAAGAAUAAGCACCGGCUAACUUCGUGCCAGCCGCCGCGGUAA
rnacentral:rRNA from 1 species